AAAUAUCAAAGUUUCCCUAGUCGGUCAGUUAAGAAAAUUUCAGCCGCGUUUGGUUUAGGUUACAAUGAAAAGAAAAAAAAUACACCAGAUUCUUCUUGGCAUUUCACAUAAAUAAUUAAAGAUAGUUAAAGAGAUUCUUUAGCACCGAUUGCUUUGGAGAUUUCGGGUUCGUGUUCAUAUUACUAGCGUUUUGAGAUUUGGCUAUGGUCCAUGAGCAGCGCCCCUAAAUACGUUUUGAUGACCAGUUAUCUUUGGGGCUUCCUGGGGCGAGCGGAUUGAUUGAAUUUAUUAUUGUUUAUGGAUGUGGUGUUUCCAUGUGGUUGCGGUGUUGUUAAUCAUGAUAGUUGUUUUUUUAAGGAAUUGAAAAAUAUUGCAUAAAAUGUUUUGUUGCUUCUUUUCC